rnacentral:rRNA from 1 species
UACGGGGGGAGCAAGCGUUGUUCGGAUUUACUGGGCGUAAAGGGCGCGUAGGCGGCGGGACAAGUCACUUGUGAAAUCUCCGGGCUUAACUCGGAGCGGCCAAGUGAUACUGUCGUGCUAGAGUGCGGAAGGGGCUACUGGAAUUCUCGGUGUAGCGGUGAAAUGCGUAGAUAUCGAGAGGAACACCUGCGGCGAAGGCGGGUAGCUGGGCCGACACUGACGCUGAGGCGCGAAAGCUAGGGGAGCGAACGGG